AACUUUGUCCAAAAGUUUCCACAGCAUUAGACAGUACGCGGGGAGAGCUAGGCUCGCCGGCCGCCGCUUCGGCGGCGGUUCUGGCGCCAUGUACUAUGGCGCCUUGGCGGGCCGCGUUCACUCUCACACCACGUGAUGAGCAUGUGGAGAGAGGAAAGCUUGGGACCAUUAAGAACUCGGAUGGAACUUUCAUGAUAUCCGGGUGUCAGAGGGUCCCCACAGUG
rnacentral:snoRNA from 1 species